CAAAAAACAACAAAACAAAACAAAGAGAUCAGUAAUGUGGAUGUGUUUGCAAUAGAGGAGAGCCGCUCAAUGCAGGGUCCUGGGAUGUGUGCACAGAGUGUCCGUUGAGGACAGGGUAGUAUUCUCUCAGUAAUUACUCAGUUGUCCACUUGCCCACUAACCAUGUGUUCCAGGGACAUCGAGGAGACUCGGGCACACCUUCUACCUUUGGGGAGAUCACUUUUACACUAAAUUUGGAGCAGCUGAGAGGAGAUUAGUGCAGUGCCUCUGCAAGGCCAACAUUCAAAUUUGUGAACUCUUCCAUAUUUUAUGGAAAGAAGUGGGAGGAGGACACCUCCUUGACUUGGACUCAUAGGGAAUGGGAUAUAGCCACAAAUGCCUCUGGGAGACAAGUCUUCAAGGGUGCACAUAGAGAGAAAAAUUUAAACUAGGGAUGUUCCUGCCUCUUCAUGGCAUGCCAUGGGGGUGCAAGCCUGGUCUACUGCAUACACGGAUGGCCAGCAAAGCAUUUCAAGAGUUCGGGCAGGCAAGGUCACUCUGCCAAGGGAAAGCUGAAGAGGGGAUGUUUGAGGUAGUUCUCACAAAGACGAUGAGGAAACAGAUGCGUCCAGAAUGUGAGAAGACAUGAAUUCCACAGGGAACAAGGCCCUGGGAAGAAAGAGGCCUUGGUCAUGAAGAGGUUGCUGAAGGCAAGCAUAAAGCAAGCAUCUGACCUUCACAUGGGGCAGACGCAUACACCUGUAGUCCCGGCUACAUGGCGGGUUGUGGGUGGGGAAUCCCUUGAACCCAGGAAUUCCAAGGCAACAUGGGAAAAGCAAUGAGGCUCUGCCUCUGGCUAAAGAAACACAGGAUCUUUUGUGAGAAGAAACAAAAGAGUGAUGACAGAGAGUUUUGAGCUGGGAGUAUCUUAUUGUACUUCAGUUCUGAAUACUUCCCUGGUCUCCAUCGUGACCUUUGCUGUGCUUUCUCUUUUUGGUUGGUUGGUUUGGUGUGGGUUAGUGAUGGUGGAACUGUAUCGGAGAUGGGGUCUCACCACAUAGCCCCCACUCACCUAGAACCCUCUAUUUAAACCAAGCUGCCUGGAAACUCCCAGAGAUCCACCCUCCUCUGCUUCCCAAAUGCUGUGAGGAAAGGUGUGUGCCACCAUGCCUGGCAUCUUUGUUGACUUGGUUAACCUUUGAAAUUUGUUACUAGAAUAUGAUUUACAUACAUUGAUUUACAUGUUUGACUCUGUAGCCACGAAAUCUUGGCAUGGAAAACACCUCCAAAAAGGUUUGUGUAAGAAGAGGGAAGUGAGGCAGGAGAAUGUAACUCAGUUGAUAGAAACUCAUCUAAUAUUCACAAGGUCCCACAGUUGAUCCCCAAAACUCUAU
rnacentral:lncRNA from 1 species